rnacentral:rRNA from 1 species
AACGGAAAGGCUCCAGCUUGCUGGAGUACUCGAGUGGCGAACGGGUGAGUAACACGUGGGUAAUCUGCCCUGCACUCUGGGAUAAGCCUGGGAAACUGGGUCUAAUACUGGAUAUGACCUUUCUCCUUAUGGGGUUUGGUGGAAAGUUUUUCGGUGUAGGAUGAGCCCGCGGCCUAUCAGCUUGUUGGUGGGGUG